GACAGAGGGUGCAAACGUUGCUCGGAAUCACUGGGCGUAAAGGGCGCGUAGGCGGGGAUGUAAGUCGGGCGUGAAAUCCCCAGGCUCAACCUGGGAACUGCACUCGAAACUGCGUUUCUUGAGUAUCGGAGAGGAAAGCGGAAUUCCUGGUGUAGAGGUGAAAUUCGUAGAUAUUAGCUAGAACACCAGUGGCGAAGGCGGCUCACUGGCCCGUAACUGACGCUGAGGUGCGAAAGCGUGGGGAGCAACAGG
rnacentral:rRNA from 1 species